rnacentral:rRNA from 1 species
CAGCAGCCGCGGUAACACGAAGGGUGCAAGCGUUACUCGGAAUUACUGGGCGUAAAGCGUGCGUAGGUGGUGGUUUAAGUCCGUUGUGAAAGCCCUGGGCUCAACCUGGGAAUUGCAGUGGAUACUGGGUCACUAGAGUGUGGUAGAGGAUAGUGGAAUUUCCGGUGUAGCAGUGAAAUGCGUAGAGAUCGGAAGGAACAUCUGUGGCGAAGGCGACUAUCUGGGCCAACACUGACACUGAGGCACGAAAGCGUGGGGAGCAAACAGGAUUAGAUACCCGCGUAGUCCCUGUCUCUUAUAA